UACGUAGGGUGCAAGCGUUGUCCGGAAUUAUUGGGCGUAAAGGGCUCGUAGGCGGUUUGUCGCGUCGGGAGUGAAAACUCAGGGCUUAACCCUGAGCCUGCUUCCGAUACGGGCAGACUAGAGGUAUGCAGGGGGAGAAUGGAAUUCCUGGUGUAGCGGUGAAAUGCGCAGAUAUCAGGAGGAACACCGGUGGCGAAGGCGGUUCUCUGGGCAUUACCUGACGUGAGGAGCGAAAAGUGUGGGGGAGCGAACAGG
rnacentral:rRNA from 1 species